GCGAGAAACAGGCUGAAACAGACUUUGCACUGGCUACGAACCAAAAGGUCGCACGUUCGAGUCGUGCCGGGCGCACCA
rnacentral:tRNA from 1 species